GAUGAACGCUGGCGGCGUGCUUAACACAUGCAAGUCGAACGGUGAAGCUCCAGCUUGCUGGAGUGGAUCAGUGGCGAACGGGUGAGUAACACGUGAGCAACCUGCCCCUGACUCUGGGAUAACAGCCGGAAACGGCUGCUAAUACCGGAUAUGCACCAUGAACGCAUGUUCUGUGGUGGGAAAGAUUUUUCGGUUGGGGAUGGGCUCGCGGCCUAUCAGCUUGUUGGUGAGGUAAUGGCUCACCAAGGCGUCGACGGGUAGCCGGCCUGAGAGGGUGACCGGCCACACUGGGACUGAGACACGGCCCAGACUCCUACGGGAGGCAGCAGUGGGGAAUAUUGCACAAUGGGCGAAAGCCUGAUGCAGCAACGCCGCGUGAGGGAUGACGGCCUUCGGGUUGUAAACCUCUUUUAGCAGGGAAGAAGCGAGAGUGACGUUACCUGCAGAAAAAGCGCCGGCUAACUACGUG
rnacentral:rRNA from 1 species